rnacentral:rRNA from 1 species
CAGCAGCCGCGGUAAUACGAAGGGUGCAAGCGUUACUCGGAAUUACUGGGCGUAAAGCGUGCGUAGGUGGUUGUUUAAGUCUGCUGUGAAAGCCCUGGGCUCAACCUGGGAAUUGCAGUGGAUACUGGGCAACUAGAGUAAGGUAGAGGAUAGUGGAAUUUCCGGUGUAGCAGUGAAAUGCGUAGAGAUCGGAAGGAACAUCUGUGGCGAAGGCGACUAUCUGGGCCAUUACUGACACUGAGGCACGAAAGCGUGGGGAGCAAACAGGAUUAGAUACCCCCGUAGUCCCUGUCUCUUAUAC